UAAAUGGCAAGGAACUGACCUUAAGGAAAAGACCCUCUACCCUUCUUUCUGUAAGUACACUUUAAAUAAUUUUUGAGAUAAACCAUGGAUUAUGGUUAAUAUUGUACUCAAUGCUCUAUAAGGGAUUACAAGGAGAUAACAUGGAUCCAAACUGGUGUGCAGAUCCUUACUCUUGUGUUACAUUAAUGGUUAUCGUGCGUCAAGUUAAUUGUGUCAUGCAUGGUAAUGCAAAAGAGGAAGGAUGUGGUCCACCAGAUCUGUUACUUAUUCUCUGAAAACCUUAAAAAUGUGUAAAUCACCCAGUUACAUCUUGUCUACACAUUGUCGGGGCAAGGAAAAUUACUUUUAGAAGGAGUCAUCUACCCUUCACCCUGUAAGUACGCUUUACUGGAUUGUUAAUGACAACCUAUAUUUUAUGAUAGAUUAAUGAUGUUUUUGGACUCAAUGCUCUAGUCAGGCUUCAGAGAAUAAAAGACAUAUGGAGCAAUAUAUUUAUAAUUAUGUGUGUACAAAAAAGGUGGAAAUGUGAUGGGUCUUUUAGGGAUCUGGGUUGAGAAGGCAUUGGGAAGCUGAGACCAAAACACCCAACAAAAAUGGUUCUAUAAUUUAUUCAAGGCAUGGUUGUCCAUUUGUUUCCACAUUCCAGUAUAAAUCAACACAUUUUCAACCGUUUUGAAAGAAUUCCAUUAUCUUUUUCCAUACAUCAGAUGAUAAUGUUGUCCAUUUUAUUUUAAAAUCAAUCAAUCACGUACAAACAUACAAAAAGGGGAACAGGAGACGAGAUCCAGGAUGCAGAGAUCCAAUGUCUACAUGUUCCAUGUUCCAACUCAGACAUGUCCUGUUAAGAAAAAUUCAGGUAGUCACCUGGGACCUAACCAGUACUACACAGACAGUUACGCCCCCUCCAAAGGCUCCUGGGUGAAGAGGAAAAGAUGAAGAGGGACAACCACCCAAGAUGUGUUCAUGUUUGCUUCUUAAUGGUUUCAAGUGUAUUUAUUCAACUGUUAUAAAGUGUUGUUGUUUAUGUCUCUAAGACUACAAGGUGGCACGACGAUGAGAGCUACAGGAAGUGUGUUGGUGGUCGUUAUCUGGUCUGUAACAGGAACUAUGGCAACAAAAUGUGGACAAACAAGCCUACUGAUGGUGUCUCCCACCAACCCAGUGUGGGGGCAGAAAGUGAUAUUGACCUGUAACGCCCCCUGUAGUCUGAGUGACAACCAAAACCACACCUACAUCGGGUACAAGAAUGGAUACCGUCUUGUCGAUUCCCCCCUCCGGCAAUACACUGAAACCAGUUAUUAUACACACAGUUACUCCUGUGCUGUAAAUGGUUCUGAGGAUCUCCGCUCUCCUGUAGUCUGUAUUCUGGGUAAGUCCUGUUUCAAUGUGACUUACACCCAUCAGACAAUCUCUGCCUUGAUCGGCUCAACAGUGGAUCUUCCCUGCACAUACCAACAUCCGAAUAACCAUACAGUCAUAGAAAUGAACUGGUAUAUACAAGGAGAACGUAAUAAGGCGCCAACAAACCUGAAAUCAUUGCCAGAGUAUUCAGGUCGUGUGAAGUACCUUGGAGAUAAUGUGAGUGACUGUACCCUGAGAAUCACAGACCUGAGAGAGACUGACUCAGCUGAGUACAAGUUCAGAUUUAAAACACAGUUUGCAGAGUGGGGGUACAGCUUCUCAGGAACUACUCUGACUGUCUCAGGACAUGUUCUCCUGUCUUCUUGGGUUCCCGUGGUCACAGUGGGGGCCGUCCUGACUGUUGCAGUUCUUCUAGUCACCAUCUACUGUACCCUGAGGAGGAGAUCUACAGGAGGAAGUGACGCUACAACAGACCCACAGAGUGUCCAUCCUGAUCCUAAUAGUGACAUGUACUCAGCUCUGAACAUGAGAAACAGAUCAACAGACUACGACACUUUAAAUACUCACCCAUUGACCAACCAACAGAUAGAUGCAGAGAUAGAUGUUUAUGAGAACUUAUGAGAACCACCACAGAAUCUGGACUGAAGAGAACCACCACAGAACCUGGAUUGUAAAGAACUACCACAGAAUCUGGACUGAAGAGAACCACCACAGAACCUGGACUGAAGAAAACCAACACAGAACCUGGACUGUAUAGAACCAACACAGAACCUAGAUUGUAUUGAACCAACACAGAACCUGGAAUGAAGAGAACCCAAACAGAAACUGGACUGUAGAGAACCACCACAGAACCUGGACUGAAGAAAAUCAACACAGAACCUGGACUAAAGAGAACCACCACAGAACCUGGACAGUAGAGAACCAUGACAGAACCUGUACUGAAGAGAACCACCACAGACACUGGACUGAAUAGAACCAUCACCGAACCUGGACUGAAGAGAACCACCACAGAACCUGGACUGAAGAGAAUCAACACAGAACAUGGACUGUAUAGAACCACCAAAGAACCUGGACUGAAGGGAAACACCACAGAACCUGGACUGAAUAGAACCAGCACAGAACCUGGACUGUAUAGAACCACCACAGAACCUGGGCUGCAUUGAACCACCACAGAACCUGGACUGAAGAAAUCCACCACAUAUCCUGGACUGAAGGGAACCACCAUAGAACUUGGACUGUAGAGAACCACCACAGAACCUGGACUGAAGAGAACCACUACAGAACCUGGACUGUAUAGAACCACCACAGAACCUGUUAAAUAGUGUUAAUAAAUGUAACACAUCAGUCUGUGAAGUGGUCAUGCAACAUGUUUGCCUUCCUUUUAUGGUUCAAACUAAUAUUAAUUAGGGUGUUACUUUAACUAAUACCAAUUAUAACUACAACAAAUACUAAUUAUAGUAUAACUAUAUCUCAUAAUAAUUAUAGUACUAAUUAUAGUACAUAUGUGCUUAGCAUUGACAUAGUGUGUGAAAGCAAUCAGAGAUUUUAGUUUUGCAAACACAGAACAUUGCUGUGCUCAUCAGGUUAAAAAGGAGAUCAAAACUUGACCCAAGUUUCAUUUGGAUUACAUUUUUUACAAUAGAUAAUAGAUAAAAAACUGUAUUCAACCUGGGCCAGAGUCUUUCACUUACUUUCUGACUGUCUCUAUACUUUUGAAGAUGCCAUUCUCCUGAAUUAUUUUCCUUCAUUGGAUUUUCUAAAAGAAUGAGGUUGUUUUUGACAACCAUGUUCACAAUUGCUACUUAUACUAUCGUCCGCUGGUGUCUCAAUUUGAUGUGAAGUAGUGUAUGGAACACAUUUACAUUUAAAUACAUUUUAGAGAAUUUGAAUACAAGCUUCACGUUCAUGUAAUUUUCCUGUAUUGUUCUACUUGUGCUAAUACAUACAGAGUACAGAAAAAUGGAUAGUCAGCAUAGACUUUUUACAGUAAAUUACCGUUUAACAGUAAAAGCAGCUCAG
ensembl:lncRNA